AUGUGCAUUGGUGGUUCAGUGGUAGAAUU
rnacentral:piRNA from 1 species